UCUUGCUGCCCUGUAAGAAGUGCCUUUUGCAUCCCACCAUUAUUCUGAGGCCUCCCCAGCCAUGUGGAACUGUAAGUCCAAUUAAAGCUCUUUUUGUUCCCACUUUCAGAUAU